AUUGAACGCUGGCGGCAGGCUUAACACAUGCAAGUCGAGCGGGGGAAGGUAGCUUGCUACUGGACCUAGCGGCGGACGGGUGAGUAAUGCUUAGGAAUCUGCCUAUUAGUGGGGGACAACAUAUCGAAAGGGAUGCUAAUACCGCAUACGUCCUACGGGAGAAAGCAGGGGAUCUUUGGACCUUGCGCUAAUAGCUGAGCCUAAGUCGGAGUAGCUAGUUGGUGGGGUAAAGGCCUACAAAGGCGACGAUCUGUAGCGGGUCUGAGAGGAUGAUCCGCCACACUGGGACUGAGACACGGCCCAGACUCCUACGGGAGGCAGCAGUGGGGAAUAUUGGACAAUGGGGGGAACCCUGAUCCAGCCAUGCCGCGUGUAUGAAGAAGGCCUUAUGGUUGUAAAGCACCUUAAGUGAGGAGGAGGCUACUCUAGUUAAUACCUAGGGAUAGUGGACGUUACUCGCAGCAUAAGCACCGGCUAACUCUGUGCCAGCAGCCGCCGUAA
rnacentral:rRNA from 1 species